ensembl:lncRNA
CCAUGUCUCCUCACAAUGCCCAGUGUCCCCCACUAAUGCACAGUGCCCCCACAAGCCCCAAUAUGUCCCUAAACCCCCCAGCCCCACUCACGCUUUCGGCUGUCUGAGAGCCAUGACAAAAACUGCAGUAAGGUGCAGGGCAGAGCUACCAGACGCCUGGGUCCUUGUCCCGUUCCACGUCUGGGACACCUGAGUCCCUGCCCCGUUAUCUGCCCCUGCUCCGUGCCCCAGGUGCCAGGGACUCUGCCCCGUCAGCCGCUCCUGCUCUGCGCCUCAGACGCCUGCGACUCUGCCCCUUUGCGACUCCACAGAGCCCCUCCCACUCCAGCAGUUUCGUUUCCUGCAGGCAGCAGCCGUUUUGAUUCUUCUAAAACUGAAACUGCAGCGCUGGAGCCAAAGGGGGGACAGGGGGCCACCAUGGGGGUACGGCCAUAGGUGGAGGCCGUGGGAGUGCGGUCACAGGGAUGGGGCCAUCGGGGGACUCUUCCAAGGUGUGCUCACCAAAGACAUCCCCUCAGAGAUAUCUGGGGAGCCAGCUACAGAAGGAAAGGUGGUCCCUUGGGGCUGGUGGGCUGAUGUGGUUGAUGCAGGUGAGGGCUGGCAGUGAUGUCAGUGAGCUGUGAAGGACAGGGGUAGAGAAGGGGUCCUGCUGCUGGCUUCCUGUAACUGCAGGUGGUGGUGGUGGUGCAGUCCCCAGCUCUGCUGAUCCCGCAGUUGUGCUGGCACAAUUUGGAUCCGUGACCCCAGCAUGGCUUCAGUUUUUGCUGCUCUCCUUCCAGAAUCAGCUGAGCUGCCCUGAAUGAUGGGGCUGCACAGGGACCAGAUAUAGACACUUGGAAUGUAUGGAUCAUGGAGCCCACACAGACUGUAUGGAGAUUGUACGGACUGCAUAGACCAUAUGGAGACCACAAGGAUACCCCAUUGAGACCACAUGACUGCAGAUCACUGUAUGGAGACCACAGAGACCAGGUGAAGAUUCAUGCUCCCCCCCAAGCUCUUCAUCUCCAUGAGCCUCAGAGCUGUGGUGGGACUGGGGGCAGCUGUGAGCAUCUGCUGCAUGUGCCUGUGCUGGGACAUGAUGUUCCUCCUCUACAAGGAUGGAGAUGGGGCCCUGCACAGGGCCAGGACCUAUGGAGGAUGCAGCUGAGUUCUCCUUCACCCAGGUCAGCAAGACAGACAAUGGGCCUGUAGUGAUCCUAACCAGAAGACCAUUGUACAUCGAGGAGAUAGAGAGCCACGUAACAAUUAACCUGAGCAGGCACAGGCCUGUGUUGUGCUGCGCAUGUCCUGCUUGGCCGCAGGAUAAACUUAGCGGGCUAAUUAUAACGAAGGAGCCUGUAGGCAGCUCCCACCUGGCACUGGGAAUUACACCAUCUGCACGUCCUCAUCUUUAAAAGCCCAGCAACAAUUUCUCAUGGGAACAUCCUUUUGGUUUGACAGUGGAAAUGAUGAAUAGAAUAGUUUACUUCUAAGAAAAUCCUAUAAAAGCUUAGAAGGCCAAAAUGCUGGUGAACCUCACCACAGGUAGGGUCUGCACAGUGUGCCAUGUCCUGAUUGAGAGGUCCAUCUGAUGCUGUAUCAUUGCAGGGUUCCCAGCAUCAGAAGGGAUGCAAGAUUUAAUUGCUAAUCUUUUAUUCCACUCCUAUCUUUGAAUAUCCUGAUUAAACAUUGUAUUAUACUUAAAGAUUAGAGUGGGCAGUCCUUCUUACUGAGAUCUAGAAAGAACUGGUACCUACCCAGUGCACAACAGACCCCUAGACCUGGUGACUGUUAGAUUAUGUGAUAAUAAUCUCAUUUCCACCCACACAGGAGCACAGAGGCACAGUGGCAGCUAGGGGAACCCGAAUAACACCCUACACUAGCUGCUCCCAAGCCCACCACAGGUGAACAGUCAACUCCUGAAAGGCUCAUCCCCAUCCACACUAAGGAGCGCAGAAGCACAAGGGCGGGGAGAGACCCCCCCCAUAACCCAGUCAGAGAAACCCACCCCAGCCUCAACCUCUCCCCCCCCACCCCCCCAAGGCUGUCCCAGGAGAGCUUCACCACAUGGGACACCCAUCGCUGUGAGUCAAGGGGACCAGCUCUCCAGAGCACCUUUGUGGCUGAAGGCGGUUACUGCCUUGGGGUACGGGACACAUUGUGAGAUGCAGGGAAGAACAUCUGGGGAUUGCACUGGACUUAUUAUGGGAUGUUUAGGGGAGGAACAAAAGGCGGGGAAAGGGAGGGAUUCAGGUGAUUUGGGGAGGAACAAACAUGGGAAAACAGAGGGGGUAAAAAGGGCUGGUCACAUGUAAACAGGGCUAGUCAGUACACUUGUCCAUCCAUGCCCUGUGCCAGAUCAGUACCGGACCAGCUCCUGGAUGAGUGGUGGGUGUAUGCCUAGUUACUGGAGGGAUCCAUAUUGCACAUAUGUAUAUAUGUAUUUCCCCCUAAUGGACCUUCAUCCGGAUCAGCCAGAGAGGGGAACAGGAUGAGGCUGUUGGCGCUGCUGGUGUUUGUGUGAGUGCUGAAUGUUUCUGUCUGUUGUUCCGUGUGGCCAGCCAUGUGUAUAUGUGUAUUGCGUAUACAUGUUUGUGUGUGUCUACUGGGGAUACAUGCCCAACCUCACUACUGUUUGGACCUGGGGGCAUGGAGCUGUGGCAGCCUCACCUCUUCUGGGCCACAAGAUUCAGCAGAGGUGACGGAGAGCUGAGCCAGCUCCAUGUUCCCACACCCUUGACCUGGACACCGAGGUAGGUCUCCAGGCUAGGGGACAUGAGAAAAGGCUCUGCAGAAGACCCAGGAGUCCAACAUGUCCAUGGCUUGGCCCCAUUGCAAUGCCACCAACUCUAUUGUGGGCUACAUUAGCCAGAGCGCAACCAGCAAGGUAAGAAAGGGGAGCUUGUCCUCCAUUGGGUACUGGUGAAGCCAGAGCAGAAUACUAGGCCCAUUUUGGGCCCCCCCACCGCCAGUACAAAGGAAACAGCAGAGGCCACCACUUAUCCUACACAGCUCCAGUCCCCAAGCCCCUCUCUUCCCUGCUCGCCUCACUCCCAUGUCACCCAAAGGGACAUAGAGCCUUUCCACAGUUUAACUAACCCUUUGUUAUUGCCAAAGGGAGCUCUGCUGACACCACUGGCCAAACCAAGAGGGGAUGGGGAGGCUGGAGGUGAGGCUCAGGGUGUGGAGGAAAGGGGCAAUUAUUUGGGCUAAGAACCAUACCAUUGCACCAAUAUAGGACUGAGGAGGCUUGCAUGGCCAGGGAAUACGUCAGACUCUGUGGGACAUGGAGUAGCUUCAGACCUACAGGUGAAGGAGAUGUUGCUGUCUCUUAGGGCUUUAAUUGUACCAUUCUCCUCCACCUAGCUCCCACCCCUGCCCCAAUGAAAGACAUUGCAGAUGUCUCCUCCCAGCUUUUAGGAGAUCAUUUAAGUGGGAAGAGAGCAGGCUUGUGCCGGGUGGCAGACAAUAAAUGGAAUUGGAGUCUUUGGAGUUCA